rnacentral:rRNA from 1 species
CUACGGGUCACACCAGUGGGGAAUAUUGCACAAUGGAGGAAAUUCUGAUGCAGCAACGCCGCGUGGAGGAUGACACUUUUCGGAGCGUAAACGGCGGGGAGAGAGGAAGAAGAUGACGGUACUAUAUGAAUAAGCGCCGGCUAACUCCGUGCCAGCAGCCGCGGUAAUACGGAGGGCGCAAGCGUUACUCGGAAUCACUGGGCGUAAAGAGCGUGUAGGCGGAUUAAAAAGUCAGAAGUGAAAUCCUAUAGCUUAACUAUAGAACUGCUUCUGAAACUCUUAAUCUAGAAUAUGGGAGAGGUAGAUGGAAUUUCUGGUGUAGGGGUAAAAUCCGUAGAGAUCAGAAGGAAUACCGAUUGCGAAGGCGAUCUACUAGAACAUUAUUGACGCUGAGACGCGAAAGCGUGGGGAGCAAACAGGAUUAGAUACCCCGGUAGUC